rnacentral:rRNA from 1 species
CCUACGGGAGGCAGCAGUGGGGAAUAUUGGGCAAUGGGCGCAAGCCUGACCCAGCAACGCCGCGUGAGGGAAGAAGGCUUUCGGGUUGUAAACUUCUGUUCGCAGGGACGAAGCAAGUGACGGUACCUGAGGAAGAAGCCACGGCUAACUACGUGCCAGCAGCCGCGGUAAUACGUAGGGGGCAAGCGUGAUCCGGAUUUACUGGGUGUAAAGGGCGGGUAGGCGGGACUGGAAGUCAGAUGGGAAAGCCACGGGCCUAACCUCUGGCCUGCAUUUGAAACUGUAGUUCUUGAGUACAGGAGAGGCAGACGGAAUGCGUAGUGUAGCGGUGAAAUGCGUAGAUAUUAGGAGGAACACCAGUGGCGAAGGCGGUCUGCUGGACAGCAACUGACGCUGAGGCGCGAAAGCGUGGGGAGCAAACAGGAUUAGAUACCCCUGUAGUC